GCAAGUCGAACGGUAGCACAGAGGAGCUUGCUCCUUGGGUGACGAGUGGCGGACGGGUGAGUAAUGUCUGGGAAACUGCCCGAUGGAGGGGGAUAACUACUGGAAACGGUAGCUAAUACCGCAUAACGUCGCAAGACCAAAGAGGGGGACCUUCGGGCCUCUUGCCAUCGGAUGUGCCCAGAUGGGAUUAGCUAGUAGGUGGGGUAACGGCUCACCUAGGCGACGAUCCCUAGCUGGUCUGAGAGGAUGACCAGCCACACUGGAACUGAGACACGGUCCAGACUCCUACGGGAGGCAGCAGUGGGGAAUAUUGCACAAUGGGCGCAAGCCUGAUGCAGCCAUGCCGCGUGUAUGAAGAAGGCCUUCGGGUUGUAAAG
rnacentral:rRNA from 1 species